rnacentral:rRNA from 1 species
UACAGAGGUCCCAAGCGUUGUUCGGAUUCAUUGGGCGUAAAGGGUGCGUAGGUGGCGCCAUAAGUCAGGUGUGAAAUCUCGGGGCUCAACCCCGAAACUGCACUUGAUACUGUGGUGCUCGAGUACUGGAGAGGAGAUUGGAAUUUACGGUGUAGCAGUGAAAUGCGUAGAUAUCGUAAGGAAGACCAGUGGCGAAGGCGAAUCUCUGGACAGUUACUGACACUGAGGCACGAGGGCCAGGGGAGCAAACGGG